rnacentral:rRNA from 1 species
AGUGAACGCUGGCGGUAGGCCUAACACAUGCAAGUCGAACGGCAGCACAGUAAGAGCUUGCUCUUACGGGUGGCGAGUGGCGGACGGGUGAGGAAUACAUCGGAAUCUACUUUUUCGUGGGGGAUAACGUAGGGAAACUUACGCUAAUACCGCAUACGACCUACGGGUGAAAGCAGGGGAUCUUCGGACCUUGCGCGAUUGAAUGAGCCGAUGUCGGAUUAGCUAGUUGGCGGGGUAAAGGCCCACCAAGGCGACGAUCCGUAGCUGGUCUGAGAGGGUGAUCAGCCACACUGGAACUGAGGCACGGUCCAGACUCCUACGGGAGGCAGCAGUGGGGAAUAUUGGACAAUGGGCGCAAGCCUGAUCCAGCCAUACCGCGUGGGUGAAGAAGGCCUUCGGGUUGUAAAGCCCUUUUGUUGGGAAAGAAAAGCAGCAGGUUAAUACCCCGCUGUUCUGACGGUACCCAAAGAAUAAGCACCGGCUAACUUCGUG